GUGAGGUUAGUUAAUAGUAGUUACUAGAAUGUUAAUAUUGCGUUACUCAUUUUUUUGUGUGUGGUUAUUUAUUCAUUAAUGAUGGAACAGUAUUAGUGUUACUUGUUGCUGAAUUAUGACAUUCUGCUCCAGAUAUAAACUGUGAAUCAGUUUAGAAAUCAUAAACUGUCCCAGUGCCUUCCUCAUAAAACAGAAGGCUGGAAUAUUUUUUUCCAACAUUAUUUUUUCUUUCUCAUCAUCAUAUUUUCUCAUACAUGUUUCCGUUCGCACCCCAUAGGUUGCGUGUGAACUCUUUCUUCCUCUGAUUGUUUGCGGGUUGAAGAUGGAAGGCUGCGGCAUCACAGGGUUCAUGUUUCCAUCUCAAACACACGUGUAGCUCAUGCGGGCCGGUUCUACAAACACAAGCAUGAGCACCCUCAGUUAAUACUUUAAUUCAGUGAUGGAAGCCCACUGCACUGAAACAAGAGAUCUCUCUACAGACCGUAACAUGACUUUAUUACAAUAACUAUUAGUUUCAUGUGCCAUAACACUCAGGAGGUCUGAUUUACGGAUGAACAUUUGCCAAGACUUUGUGAUGGAGGAUUUCACUUUAAUGAAAUGGACUGAAUUAUUUCUUGGAUAUUGAGAGUUUCGUGCACACUUACCUCGUCUGAACUACAGCUUGAAUCUGUUUGACACCAUGUGCUUUUCCUCUUCUUUCCCUAGUGCGUUUAACCUGAGCGCCUCCUGUGAUUUCUGCUACAUGUAUGUGUGUUUACUCUGGAUCAGAACCUGAAUGUUUCCUCAGGUUUGGGUCUUUAUAUGAAAGGUGUGUGAAGACAUUUGUGUCCGAAACUGAAGACAGUCGACAGCUGAAAUUAACCAGCUUUAACCUAGUCAAGUCAAUAAUUCAUGACCAGUGCUUAUUUCUCACUAGAAAUAGAGGCAUGAGUUAAAAUUAAUAUGAAUUAAUUUGUUUCAAACACCUGCACAGGAUUGUGGGACAUCAUAGGCACUGAAGAACACAAUUUUUCAUGCUAACAUUAUAUUCAGGUGUUCCUGAUGAACGAUUGGCCUGAAAACGCAGCAAAGCUCAGUCUGUUUUAUUCUGUUUGCAGAGACUUGCCUUCUUUUGUCAGUAUUUCAGCCUGAAACGCCACAUUUAUGAUUCAUCAUAAAGUUAAAGCUGUUCAUGUGUUUUGUGUCAUAAUGUGAAGCUGAAGUUCUCCUGCAUCAUUUGACACACAAACUGUUAUAAUGUAAAGCAUGCUUAUUUCUUCAAUCUUACUGUGUGUCAUGAGUAUAGAAUCGUGUGCUUUCUGCACUAUACGGAUGUACAGCUACAGAUUCAUCAGACUUUAAUGACCUGGACGCCUCCAACAGAAUGAGCUGUUGGAAUGGGAUCGUUCUGCUAGUGACUCAUUAGCAUGAACUCACCGCGAGCAGCUGCCAGUGAAACACCACAUUACUUUCUUCUAGAUUGUGGAUUAUAGACAAAUGAGACGAUCUGUUUAUAGUUGACUAUUUCAUGCUCUGUUCCAACUUGAUCUGAGCGUAUCAUCAUAAACCAUCAGACAAUAAAACUGAAAAUGGCGGCUCUGGAUUUCAACAGUCACAUGAUGUUGUGGAAUAGACACGUGUAUCAGCUGAGCGCUGCAGCUGGAGCGACACGAGCAGCAAAUGUUGGCUGUUCCUCAGAUCACUGAAAUGCACCCAAUAGUUUUGAAACAUGCUGGAAUCCAUCAAUACGAGGCAAACACGCCAGAAAUUUUCCCACCGGAAUGAUUCUGGAUAAUAUUAUUUGCAGAAACACCCACUUGCAUGGAAAACGAGGGGGGGAAGGAGUAAAGGAGUGAAGGAGUGAAGGCCACAGCGAGAUCAGAAGGUCUGGAGAGGCAGAAUCCAGGCUGGUUCAUGCUGAUUAGAGCUGAUCUACCGUCACUCCUGCUUCACAUGCUGAUGACCAGCAAAACACGCCUUGGAGUUUUCAGCAGGAAGGACAGGCCGUGUGAUCCCUGAUUUGGGGUGAAGAGCAACCAGUCCCAAAUGUCCCAAAUGCUUGUAUACAUUAGAAUAACAACAGACUCGAAGAGGACAUGAAGCUGUCAGUCUGUUUGGCUGUUUAUUAUCCUCAUGUCUGCAGGGUUAGAUCACUGAUGACUCAAAUCUUAUUGUGUGUGUGUGUGUGUGUGUGUGUGUGUGUGUGUGUGUGUGUGUGUGUGUGUGUGUGUGUGU